UACAGAGGUGGCGAGCGUUGUUCGGAUUUACUGGGCGUAAAGGGCGCGUAGGCGGCCGCGUGUGUCGCGUGUGAAAUCCCCGGGCUCAACCCGGGAAGUGCGCGCGAAACUGCGGGGCUCGAGCGGAGGAGGGGAGAGCGGAAUUCAUGGUGUAGCGGUGAAAUGCGUAGAGAUUAGGAAGAACACCAGUGGCGAAGGCGAUUCUCUGGACUGUAACUGACGCUGAGGCUCGAAAGCGUGGGGAGCAAACAGGAUUAGAUACCCCCGUAGUCCCU
rnacentral:rRNA from 1 species